rnacentral:rRNA from 1 species
GACAGCAGUAGCCGCGGUAAUACAGAGGGUGCGAGCGUUAAUCGGAUUUACUGGGCGUAAAGCGUGCGUAGGCGGCUAAUUGAGUCGGAUGUGAAAUCCCCGAGCUUAACUUGGGAAUUGCAUUCGAUACUGGUUAGCUAGAGUGUGGGAGAGGAUGGUAGAAUUCCAGGUGUAGCGGUGAAAUGCGUAGAGAUCUGGAGGAAUACCGAUGGCGAAGGCAGCCAUCUGGCCUAACACUGACGCUGAGGUACGAAAGCAUGGGGAGCAAACAGGAUUAGAUACCCCGGUAGUCCCUGUCUCUUAUAC